AGCUUGUUGGUAAGGUAACGGCUUACCAAGGCGACGAUCAGUAGCUGGUUUGAGAGGACGACCAGCCACACUGGGACUGAGACACGGCCCAGACUCCUACGGGAGGCAGCAGUGGGGGAUAUUGGGCAAUGGAGGAAACUCUGACCCAGCGACGCCGCGUGCGGGAUGAAGGCCUUCGGGUUGUAAACCGCUUUCAGUAGGGAAGAAGCGAAAGUGACGGUACCUACAGAAGAAGCACCGGCUAACUAUGUGCCAGCAGCCGCGGUAAUACAUAGGGUGCAAGCGUUGUCCGGAAUUAUUGGGCGUAAAGAGCUCGUAGGUGGUUUGAUACGCCGGGUGUGAAAUUCAGGGGCUCAGCCCCUGACCUGCAUUCGAUACGGUCAAGCUAGAGUUUGGUAGGGGAGACUGGAAUUCCUGGUGUAGCGGUGGAAUGCGCAGAUAUCAGGAGGAACACCGAUGGCGAAGGCAGGUCUCUGGGCCAAUACUGACACUGAGGAGCGAAAGCGUGGGGAGCGAACAGGAUUAGAUACCCUGGUAGUCCACGCCGUAAACGGUGGGCGCUAGUUGUGCGAACCUUCCACGGUUUGUGCGACGCAGCUAACGCAUUAAGCGCCCCGCCUGGGGAGUACGAUCGCAAGAUUAAAACUCAAAGG
rnacentral:rRNA from 1 species